rnacentral:rRNA from 1 species
GGGUGCGAUCAUACCAGUGUUAAUGUACCGGAUCCCAUCAGAACUACGCAGUUAAGCGUACUUGGGCUAGAGUAGUACUGGGAUGGGUGACCUCCCAGGAAGUCCUAGUGUUGCACCCU